rnacentral:lncRNA from 1 species
AGACAGGAGCAGCGACACCCCUGCCACGCCUGCCGCCUGGAGUUGAGUGGGGUCCCCGUGCCGCCUUCAGCGCGCCUCCUUAUGCACCUCUACCUCUGCUGCAGCGUACCUCUUCCGCAGCCCUAGCGGCCUCCCCGAGGGGCGCCGCGGCCUCGGCUGUCCCUCCCCUGCCUGGCACGACCACCUGACCCCCAGCGACCCAAGAAGCAAGUUGUGUUUGCAGACGCAAAGGGGCUGUCGUUGGUAUCGGUGCACUGGUUUGAAGCCACUGCGGGCACAGCCUGAAGAGGGCCGGUGUCCCGCGUGCAGCCUCCCCGGCCCGGCCUCCUCCUGCUGCAGAACCGCCCCCCACGCCCGGGCUGCUGCGCCCCAGGAGGGACUAGCGGGUAUUCAGGGAUGCCCGCACUCUCGGGGGCGAGCCUGCAGCUGUGUGCCCUGUAGGGGCUUCCUGCGGGGCACCGUGAGCGCAGGUGGGGACAAGCGGGCCGUGCAGAUGCGCACCCCCUGGAUGCCUGGGGCUCCUUCCAACAAGAGCCCUGUGUUGGAAUGCCGGGUCCCCGCCGAGGUGAGAGGGUCGGCUUCGCCUUCCAGGUGGUGUUGCCGCCGAGUACCCUGGCCCCGCGGGCCACCGUCCAGUUCUGCUUCUCUUUAGAGCGUGCUCAGCGGCCUUUCGGGGACAGUAAUCAAAGGCAAAACUACAGCUGGGUGCCGGGUUCGCCGUCCUGCUCAUCAGAAUGAAGCCAGGCUCUGUGAGGGCGCACAGACAGACAGGCUGAGGCCUCUGCGCCUGCCUUUUCCACCUGGGCAAAGCGUGAUUUCUUGUCCAGGACGCGCGUGUUUCCCAUGUCGGGGAACUUUGCUCAAUCUGUUUUCUUGCUCCUGAAUUCAUAAUGGGGAAACAGGACUGAUUCAACUCCUAGUCCCUGCAGAAGGCCUCGAAUGCCUUGCAUUCUUCUCUCACUUCCUGACUACAAGGGAUGAGGUUUUGCUUUAGGAAGAUUCUGGGAAUGGAGUCGGGAAACCGAAGAAAUGCAAAUAAAGUAUUUAUAUGUAAUUAUUGAAAGGGCUUAGCAGAGAGUGUCUAAGGACCGUGGGUGGUGUGUGCGUGCGCAUGUGUGUAUGUUUGUGUGUGUAUUGCAGAGGUUGGGGAGGGGUUCUUUACGUUAAAGAUGGGAGAGAGAACUUUGCCCUUCUACUUUCCUCUCCAUCUAGGAAGGGCUACUUUCCUGGUAACUUGAAAUAGUCAGGCUUAUUCCACUUUUGCCAAAAGGAAUGUUCAUUAAAGCAUCUUCAACAGUUGAUAUAAUAAACACUUUUUCUCCCUCUUCAUCAUAUAAAAGUGUGGGGAGACUCUGUCUCUGUUCAUUUCAAAAUAUGGGUACUUUUAAAAACACUUAUUUUCAGUAGUUUAGUACACUUUAAUUUUUAAUUUUAAUUUUUAUUAUUAUUUUUUAGACAGUAUCUCCUCAUGUUGUCCAAACUGGUCUUGAACUCCUGGGUUCAACUGGUCCUCCUGCCUAAGGAUCACUCAGAGUGUUGGGAUUACAGGUGUGAGCCAUGGUGCCUGGGUACUACUUUUUUUUUUUUUUUUUUUUUGAGAUGGAGUCUCACCUUGUCACCCAGGUUGGAGUGCAAUGGUGCCAUAUCAGCUCACUGCAAUCUCCACCUCCUGGGUUCAAAUUAUUCUCCUGCCUCAGCCUCCUGUGUAGCUGCGAUUAUAGGCACCUGCCACCAUGCACUGCUAUUUUUUAUAUCUUUAGUAGAGACGGGGUUUCAUCAUGUUGGCCAGGCUGGUCUCAAACUGCUGACCUCGUGAUCCUCCCACCUUGGCCUCCCAAAGUGCUGGGAUUACAGGCGUGAGCCAACACACCCGGCUGCUACUACUUCUUUGAAUGCAAUUUACCUAGACCCAGAAACCUGACCUUUGCCCCCACGGCCCCCAUAGCUCCCCAUUAUGUAUUGAUGGUCCGGUAUUGAAAGCAUCCACUGAAGUGUUUGCCUCCCCCAGGAUGGGAGAAAGUGAGGACAAGUUGGCCUUGGACACAGCCGGCCGCAGGCUGGCCACCCCCCUGGAGCUCAGAACAUAUGGAUUAGAAUAAUAUAUGUGAAUGUGUGCCAAGUAUGCCUCUAGCUUCAAUUUACAGUGUUCUGAGAGCUUUAGAUGUUGGAAGGCUUUAACCUCUUUUCAGGGACUCUUCAUUCUUCGAUUAUUAUUCAUAGAUGACAAAUUUUAAAUAAAAGAUUUCUUUUUGUACACUUUUAUCUCUUCUGAUACUUGAUUUCUUGGACUACAUUUUUUAUGCCAAUGGCAGGUAUUGAGGUUGAACAAGCAACAUUCACUUUAUUUUUUCUUUCUUUCUUUCUUUCUUUUUUUUUUUUUGAGACAGAAUCUUGCUCUGUCACCCAGGCUGGAGCGCAAUGGCACUAUCCUGGCUCACUGCAACCUCUGCCUCACGGGUAAGCGAUUCUCCUCCCUCAGCCUCCCGAGUAGCAGGGAUUACAGGUG